CACUGAUAACUUCACUGAAACGGAUCUUCCACGAGCUGAAAAGACUUUAAGGGAGAUUUUGGUCCUAAGGAACAGCAGAGAUCAGUUGUUGCUAUUAUUCCAGGGGCUGCAGAAGAGAAGAGCAGAUCCAGUACUGAUCGACGUUUAGAUGUUGUGUUCAGAAUGAUACUAUUAACUAACAACAAAUAAUGUAGCUUAUUAAUACGUUGUUGCAUAAAAGCCUAAAGAUAAAAUGUACACUUUCAACCGUUGUUAUUUAUAAAGCAACAAUUUUA